GGAGGGAGGGGACGUAAGACUUGUGCUUUUGGAGCGGCCGAUGCCUGAUUAGCUAGUUGGUGGGGUAAUGGCCUACCAAGGCGACGAUCAGUAGUUGGUCUGAGAGGACGACCAGCCACACUGGGACUGAGACACGGCCCAGACUCCUACGGGAGGCAGCAGUGGGGAAUUUUGGACAAUGGGCGCAAGCCUGAUCCAGCAAUGCCGCGUGAGUGAAGAAGGCCUUCGGGUUGUAAAGCUCUUUCAGUCGAGAAGAAAAGAUUGCGACGAAUAAUCGCAAUUCAUGACGGUACCGACAGAAGAAGCACCGGCUAACUACGUGCCAGCAGCCGCGGUAAUACGUAGGGGGCGAGCGUUAAUCGGAAUUACUGGGCGUAAAGGGUGCGCAGGCGGCCUUGUAAGUCAGAUGUGAAAUCCCCGGGCUCAACCUGGGAAUUGCGUUUGAAACUACAAGGCUAGA
rnacentral:rRNA from 1 species